rnacentral:rRNA from 1 species
CUACGGGGGGCUCCAGUGGGGAAUAUUGGACAAUGGGGGAAACCCUGAUCCAGCAAUGCCGCGUGUGUGAAGAAGGCCUGCGGGUUGUAAAGCACUUUCGGUUGGGAGGACUGCUUCUAGCACUAAUAUUGUUGGAAGUUGACGUUACCUUCAGAAGAAGCACCGGCUAACUCCGUGCCAGCAGCCGCGGUAUACGGAGGGUGCAAGCGUUAAUCGGAAUUACUGGGCGUAAAGCGCGCGUAGGCGGCUAGAUCAGUCGGGUGUGAAAGCCCCGGGCUUAACCUGGGAACUGCAUCCGUACUGUCUAGCUUGAGUACAGGAGAGGAGAGUGGAAUUCCACAUGUAGCGGUGAAAUGCGUAGAUAUGUGGAGGAACACCAAUGGCGAAGGCAGCUCUCUGGCCUGAUACUGACGCUGAGGUGCGAAAGCGUGGGGAGCAAACAGGAUUAGAUACCCGUGUAGUC